CACGACUCUCGGCAACGGAUAUCUUGGCUCUUGCAUCGAUGAAGAACGUAGCGAAAUGCGAUACUUGGUGUGAAUUGCAGAAUCCCGUGAACCAUCGAGUCUUUGAACGCAAGUUGCGCCCGAGACCUUUAGGUUGAGGGCACACCUGCUUGGGCGUCAUG
rnacentral:rRNA from 1 species